UACGUAGGGGGCAAGCGUUGUCCGGAAUUAUUGGGCGUAAAGAGCGCGUAGGCGGUCCGGUAAGUCGGCUGUGAAAGUCAAAGGCUCAACCUUUGAAUGUCAGCGGAUACUGCCGGGCUAGAGUCCGGAAGAGGCGAGUGGAACUCCUGGUGUAGCGGUGGAAUGCGCAGAUAUCAGGAAGAACACCAACGGCGAAGGCAGCUCGCUGGGACGGAACUGACGCUAAGGCGCGAAAGCGUGGGGAGCGAACAGG
rnacentral:rRNA from 1 species